AACAACAUGAGGGUGAGUAAAAACAGAAUUUUUGUGUGAACUGUCCUUUUAAGUAAAUGUAGUCUUUUUAUCUUUAAUCCAUUUUGAUGUCAAAGCAAAUGUGCAUAAAAUGCAAAAAGUACAAUGACACAGCCGGUUUGACACUACAGAACUUUACUUGAAUUGAAUCCAAGUUCAUUGUCUAUACAAGAUAUAUUUACAAUGUCUGAAAUGGGGGAAAUGAACAAUAAAACACUAGAUACAACUGAGGUAUCAGCUAAAAGCAUGUACAUGUAUUUAACUCGUAAAUAUCAAUCAUGAUAAACAGUUUGAGAUGUGUCAUCUGCUUUAGAAAACAUCUCAUCACAACAUGAGGUAGGAGAGCAACGUCUCAUUUUCAUGCAAGAGCAAAAAACCUCUCAUCACACUGUAGGAUUGGCAACAUAUUAUGCAAUGAUACACACAAACACUGCAUUUCAUAUCUCAGAAUUGCAACUUAAAAUAUCUUUGCUGUUUACGAAAGUCAAUGGUGUUGUUUCUAUUACAGUGUUAAGUGUGUUCUCAAAAAAAAAAGCAUCAUAUCCGAUUUUUUUUUAGUAGUAAUGUCUCAGUUAUACAUUAGAAAAGGUGUGAUCAGGAUCAUAGGGACACAUGCUGUGCUGGCAGGUAGUUAUUUGUAUACUACGUGUAUUUUUACCAUUCUAAAAAAAUGUUUUGUUUAUAUAAUUGUAAUUUUCUUUUUUCUUUUGCCAUUAACCAGCUCAAGGGAGCCACUGUAUUCAUUAUCCCCUCUAAAAUGGGAUAUUUCCUCUAUAAUGCAAAAUACAUGGUAGCUUUGCUGAAAAACUCUUUGCUUUAAGGUACAGUUUUGCUAAUUAUAUUAUACCAGGCCUAUACAUAUCAGAUAUUCAACAUAUUUCACACCUCUCGUAUAUGUACAACGUUAUAUGUAUUCAUUUUCUUAACACUGCAAAAGCCAAAGCAGGUUUGUUGUUUCAAGAGUCUAAAGUACUGUAUUCCUAUACCCAUAAUUCAAAUUUAACAUGGUAUUCUAUAUAGGAGAUAUACAGCGCCCCCCUGUGUACAAAAUGCAAUUUACAUGUUUCAUAGAAUCGUUACAAAUGAAAAGGUAUAUACUCUAGAAAGCUUCAGAAAUACAUUUUAAUACCCAAAACUAUCAAAAACAGCAUUGAAACUGGCUGCUACAGAGGUAACUGUGGUGAAAACAAAAGAAACCUAAUACUGAUUGAAAUUUGAAAAUUGUAGUCGACACUGUAGUACUGCAUUACAGUGCCAAAACAAAUGCUACAAUCUCUCAAAAGAACUACACAUGAAAUCAAAACUGUAUAUUUAUAUUUGUAUUACAAAAAAAACAAAACAUUGCUCUUUUCAGUAAGUCAUGUCUCAUUUGUCACUGACACACACAGUCUCUCAUAUCAAAAGUUUCUAGCAUCUAUAUUAGGCUCUUGAGCACAUUUUGUGCCCAUUUACAUAAAGACUACUCUUCUCAGACAAUACGGAGGAACAUUUGUUGGAAAGCUUGUAUGUGUGUGAGAGAACAGAAAAAAAAAUCACUUCUGUAUUUUAGCAAUAAUGAAUUUGUUUUAGCAUAACAAUAUAGUAGCGAACAAUACAUGCAUUAUUUCACUCCCUUCUUUCUAAGGAUUUAAAUUCUUAAUUUUGAAAAAAUAUAUUUAUAUGUAUAUGUAUGUAUAUGUAUAUGUAUAUGUAUAUAUAUAUAUAUAUAUAUAUAAUGGGGAAGAGGAAAAGCUGAACAGUGAACACCACCAAAAUAACAACAGGUUGUCAAUCUCAGUGGGCUCCAAUGAAAUGGACGAGAUGACCCACUGAAGGGAAACACUGAGGCACUGGACAGCAUACGUCACUGUUCCCGUUCCUCGUUGGAUAGUGUAGGGGUUCUGAGCAUCAUGCAUUCUUACACACUUUAUCAACAACUACUCUUCAG